rnacentral:piRNA from 1 species
CUGAGGCUGCAUAGUGCUCUGGAGACCG